AGCAGCCGCGGUAAUUCCAGCUCCAAUAGCGUAUAUUAAAGUUGCUGCAGUUAAAAAGCUCGUAGUUGAAUUUCGGGAUCAAUAUGUUGGUCGUGCCUUGGUACGUACUAGCUCAUUGGUUUCUCCCUUCUGACGAACCAUGAUGUCAUUAAUUUGAUGUCAUGGGGAAUCAGGACUGUUACUUUGAAAAAUUAGAGUGUUUAAAGCAGGCUCGCGCUUGAAUACAUUAGCAUGGAAUAAUGAAAUAGGACGUUUGAUUCUAUUUUGUUGGUUUCUAGGAUUGACGUAAUGAUUAAUAGGGAUAGUUGGGGCAUUAGUAUUCAAUUGUCAG
rnacentral:rRNA from 1 species